AGGUUUAGAGUUUGCCAACAAGCUAGCGGAGCUGAAGGAGAUAGAGGCUUUGAAGGAGGACUUGGAGCUGGAAAGGGAGCUCUCCUCAAACACACUAGCGGAGGACAAGUCCAUACUGCGGAAAAGGGUUGAGCCCUGUUUCUGGAAGUACUGUGUAUGACAGUACUUCCAGGAGCGCAGUACUGUACGUGCAGUACUGUCCUACUUAGAGAGGAGCCUCUGAGUCCCGCUGCAUUGCCUUAACACCCCAAAGACUCAACACGCUCACAGACAACAACACAACUCACCCAUUACCAAGUGUUUGAAUGUUGUGGCGUAACUAAUAUGCUAAUACUAUAAUGUACUCAUCACUGUGCUGUAACCUCUGCCCUGAUGUCGCAAUAUCGGGCGUCUACAGGUGUUUAUAACAGGUUCAAUGAUGGUUGGGUCUAAAUCAGGGUAGGCAUAAGUGACAUUUUAUUUGUGUUGAUUUGCAUAAUUACCUUGUCGUGCAUAAUUACCUCAAACGACCGAAAUGACUUGAUCGCCAGUUCAGUACUGGAUGUAACGUUUCAGAUGCUUCUCUACAGGACUCCCAACUUUUGAGAUGACAAGGAGUUAUCAGCAUUUCUCUAAGAGUGGAAGGUAUUGUUGUCACAGCCUAACAUCGUCUGCUGACAAAGGACUUGGUCCAUGUUUCCACACCCAGAGUAACUGUCCUCUUCUCAACAUGUUGACUUUGUCUUCCUCUAGUGGUAAAUGGGUGCAGUGACGCAAUUCAUGUACUUUCCAUUGUCAAGUAUCAGUAUUGCUUUGAUGAAUGUGUUACCGUUUCCUUCAUUUAAU